CCCUUAGAUGUUCUGGGCUGCACGCGUGCUACACUGAUAUUGCCAAUAUGUCAUUCUUAUCCGAAAUGGAUUGGGUAAUCAAGUAAUGAAAUUUCAUGCUCGGAAUCGGUAAUUGCAAUUUUAUCGUGAACGAGGAAUUCCUAGUAAGCACUAGUCAUCAGCUAAUGUUGAUUAUGUCCCUGCCCUUUGUACACACCGCCCGUCGCUACUACUGAUUGGGUGUUCAAGUGAGAUGCUUAGACCCUUGUUGCAUGGUUCAUUAUUGUGCUCCGAAAGGAAAAAGUUUCAAGCUUGAGUGUCUAGAGGAAGUAAAAGUCGUAACA
rnacentral:rRNA from 1 species